UUUGUGAGACACUGUAGCUGCAAACCUCAGCUGUCUGGUGUCGAAUAAUGAGUUUGUUGACGGACAAAUAACAUGGUCCCAAACUGGUGUACAGAUCCUUACUCUUGUGUUAUAUUAAUGGUUAUCUUGCAUCAAGUCAACUGUGUCAUGCAUGUUAAUGUAAAAGAGGAAGGAAAUGCUCAUUCCUUUCAGUUAUGCUGUGCAAACAUUCAAUGUGUCAAUCACCCAAUUGCUUGUUUCUUAAAUGGCAAGGAACUGACCUUAAGGAAAAGACCCUCUACCCUUCUUUCUGUAAGUACACUUUAAAUAAUUUUUGAGAUAAACCAUGGAUUAUGGUUAAUAUUGUACUCAAUGCUCUAUAAGGGAUUACAAGGAGAUAACAUGGAUCCAAACUGGUGUGCAGAUCCUUACUCUUGUGUUACAUUAAUGGUUAUCGUGCGUCAAGUUAAUUGUGUCAUGCAUGGUAAUGCAAAAGAGGAAGGAUGUGGUCCACCAGAUCUGUUACUUAUUCUCUGAAAACCUUAAAAAUGUGUAAAUCACCCAGUUACAUCUUGUCUACACAUUGUCGGGGCAAGGAAAAUUACUUUUAGAAGGAGUCAUCUACCCUUCACCCUGUAAGUACGCUUUACUGGAUUGUUAAUGACAACCUAUAUUUUAUGAUAGAUUAAUGAUGUUUUUGGACUCAAUGCUCUAGUCAGGCUUCAGAGAAUAAAAGACAUAUGGAGCAAUAUAUUUAUAAUUAUGUGUGUACAAAAAAGGUGGAAAUGUGAUGGGUCUUUUAGGGAUCUGGGUUGAGAAGGCAUUGGGAAGCUGAGACCAAAACACCCAACAAAAAUGGUUCUAUAAUUUAUUCAAGGCAUGGUUGUCCAUUUGUUUCCACAUUCCAGUAUAAAUCAACACAUUUUCAACCGUUUUGAAAGAAUUCCAUUAUCUUUUUCCAUACAUCAGAUGAUAAUGUUGUCCAUUUUAUUUUAAAAUCAAUCAAUCACGUACAAACAUACAAAAAGGGGAACAGGAGACGAGAUCCAGGAUGCAGAGAUCCAAUGUCUACAUGUUCCAUGUUCCAACUCAGACAUGUCCUGUUAAGAAAAAUUCAGGUAGUCACCUGGGACCUAACCAGUACUACACAGACAGUUACGCCCCCUCCAAAGGCUCCUGGGUGAAGAGGAAAAGAUGAAGAGGGACAACCACCCAAGAUGUGUUCAUGUUUGCUUCUUAAUGGUUUCAAGUGUAUUUAUUCAACUGUUAUAAAGUGUUGUUGUUUAUGUCUCUAAGACUACAAGGUGGCACGACGAUGAGAGCUACAGGAAGUGUGUUGGUGGUCGUUAUCUGGUCUGUAACAGGAACUAUGGCAACAAAAUGUGGACAAACAAGCCUACUGAUGGUGUCUCCCACCAACCCAGUGUGGGGGCAGAAAGUGAUAUUGACCUGUAACGCCCCCUGUAGUCUGAGUGACAACCAAAACCACACCUACAUCGGGUACAAGAAUGGAUACCGUCUUGUCGAUUCCCCCCUCCGGCAAUACACUGAAACCAGUUAUUAUACACACAGUUACUCCUGUGCUGUAAAUGGUUCUGAGGAUCUCCGCUCUCCUGUAGUCUGUAUUCUGGGUAAGUCCUGUUUCAAUGUGACUUACACCCAUCAGACAAUCUCUGCCUUGAUCGGCUCAACAGUGGAUCUUCCCUGCACAUACCAACAUCCGAAUAACCAUACAGUCAUAGAAAUGAACUGGUAUAUACAAGGAGAACGUAAUAAGGCGCCAACAAACCUGAAAUCAUUGCCAGAGUAUUCAGGUCGUGUGAAGUACCUUGGAGAUAAUGUGAGUGACUGUACCCUGAGAAUCACAGACCUGAGAGAGACUGACUCAGCUGAGUACAAGUUCAGGUGUAAAUUCACCUUGAGUAACAAUAGGUUUGCAGAGUGGGGGUACAGCUUCUCAGGAACUACUCUGACUGUCUCAGGACAUGCUCUCCUGUCUCCCUGGGUUCCCGUGGUUACAGUGGGGGCCGUCCUCACUGUUGCAGUUCUUCUAGUCACCAUCUACUGUACCCUGAGGAGGAGAUCUACAGGAGGAAGUGACGCUACAACAGACCCACAGGUGAUUAUAUCAGUUACACUGAUGACAACAGUGUUCUCUACACAGUCUGGCUCUAUUGUUAUCCUGACAUUUCCCCCCACAGAGUGUCCAUCCUGAUCCUAACAGUGACAUGUACUCAGCUCUCUCCCACACAGAGUGUCCAUCCUGAUCCUAACAGUGACAUGUACUCAGCUCUCUCCCCCACAGAGAGUCCAUCCUGAUCCUAACAGUGACAUGUACUCAGCUCUGUCCCCCACAGAGUGUCCAUCCUGAUCCUAACAGUGACAUGUACUCAGCUCUCUACCCCACAGAGUGUCCAUCCUGAUCCUAACAGUGACAUGUACUCAGCUCUGAACAUGAGGAACAGAUCAACAGACUACGACACUCUAAAUACUCACCCACUGACCAACCAACAGAUAGAUGCAGAGCCCCAUGUUUAUGAGAACUUAUGAGAACCACCACAGAAUCUGGACUGAAGAGAACCACCACAGAACCUGGAUUGUAAAGAACUACCACAGAAUCUGGACUGAAGAGAACCACCACAGAACCUGGACUGAAGAGAACCACCACAGAACCUGGACUGAAGAAAACCAACACAGAACCUGGACUGUAUAGAACCAACACAGAACCUAGAUUGUAUUCGCUUACUUUCUGACUGUCUCUAUACUUUUGAAGAUGCCAUUCUCCUGAAUUAUUUUCCUUCACUGGAUUUCUCUAAAAGAAUAAGGUUGUUUUUGACAACCAUGUUCACAAUGGCUACUUCUACUAUCAUCAACUGGUGUCUCAAUUUAAUGUGAAGUAGUGUUUGGAACACAUUUACAUUUAAAUACAUUUUAGAGAAUUUGAAUACAAGCUUCACAUUCAUGUAAUUUUCCUGUAUUGUUCUACUUGUGCUAAUACAUACAGAGUACAGAAAAAUGGAUAGUCAGCAUAGACAGAAAGGUUUACAGUAAAUUACCAUUUAACAGUAAAAGCAGCUCAGGUUUGUCUUCCUGCUUCCCUCAUUGUCACACCAAGUACAAGAACAUGGUCCAGUACAGUGUCACAAAUCUCCUUAGAGAUUAUUGUUCUUCUUCCUCUCCCAUGUCCACCUCUCUUUCUUCCUCGUCCUCUACUUCUCUUUGACAUUGUCAUCCAUUGUUCCAAAACAAAGGUGAGUUCACCUGUGGUCCUUUUUAUUCAAGCCAUCUUCCUGAUCACCUCUUGACUAAGUAGCUAAUUAGUCAAGUUAAGUAACACACUGACAAUAGUGUUGAGAAUGUUGGACUUGUAAUGCUUCGAGAUUGGUAAUUGAAUGGUGACAGUAUGGUGACAAAGAGAGAUGUGUAUGUUUUAAUAUGAAUGGUAAAUGGUCUUCCACCUCAAACUUUGAAAAAGGCUUUGUGAACAUUGUUAAAAAAAAAAGUUUUAGCAUGUUAGUGGUUGUGAAAAACUGUACAAGCAUCAUAGUAAUCGAGAAAAUCUGUAAUCUAAUCAUUAUCUCUUGUUUUCCUGAAAUCUGAACCUUUCUUACUCUAUGAAAUUGUUGCAAAUAGAAACUCAGAUAUGACCUUUUUCAUGAAAUAAGGACUGAUUUUGUUUCACAUGAUUUACUCAACUGAGUUUUGCAUUUUUGGUGGAGAACUUUAUUAAACUGUUUUUGUGGAAAAGCAAUAAAAAAUAAUUAUUUUGUGGGGAAAAAGGAGUUCUGUUGUUGUUUUUGGGUUAUGAUGGAGGUCUGCUUGACCCCAAGUUCAAUGAAAGUGACUCAGAUAUCAAGAUUCUAUCUUAAACAGGAAGGACAAUAUACAACCUCAUUGCUAUUUGUCAUCUUUGAACAUGUGACACAUACACUGUGUUUCCUCAUUGUCAGUCAGUGUGAAAAAGUC
ensembl:lncRNA